rnacentral:rRNA from 1 species
CACUUCUAAGGAAGGCAGCAGGCGCGCAAAUUACCCAAUCCUGACUCAGGGAGGUAGUGACAAGAAAUAACAAUAAACCGGCUUAUGCCGGUUUAAUUGGAAUGAGUACAAUUUAAACAUCUUAACGAGGAACAAUUGGAGGGCAAGUCUGGUGCCAGCAGCCGCGGUAAUUCCAGCUCCAAUAGCGUAUACUAAAGUUGUUGCAGUUAAAAAGCUCGUAGUUGGAUUUCUGUGGGGACGGAGCGGCCGGCCGCACAUCGCGGUUCGAGCUAGCGCUUUCCCUACAUCCUGCCGCGAACCGUGCUACCAUUAAUUUGGUGGCGCUGGGGAUCGGCUCGAUUACUUUGAGAAAAAUAGAGUGUUCAAAGCAGGCCACAUGCCUUGAAUAAGUUAGCAUGGAAUAAUAACUAAGGACUUCGGUUCUAUUUUGUUGGUGUUCGGGACUGAAGUAAUGAUUGAUAGGGACAGUUGGGGCGGUCUGUAUUCCAAAGCGAGAGGUGAAAUUCUUAGACCUUCGGAAGACAAACAGCUGCGAAAGCGUUCCGCAAGGAUGUUCCCUUUGAUCAAGAACGAAAGUUGGGGGAUCGAAGACGAUCAGAUACCGUCGUAGUCUCAACUAUAAACUAUACCAGCUAGGGAUCGGCCAACGUUAUUUUAUACCGACUUGGUCGGCACCUUAUGAGAAAUCAAAGCAUCUGGGUUCCGGGGGGAGUAUGGUCGCAAGGCUGAAACUUAAAGGAAUUGACGGAAGGGCACCACCAGCCGUGGAGCCUGUGGCUUAAUUUGACUCAACACGGGAAAACUUACCAGGUCCAGACAUAGUAAGGAUUGACAGAUUGAUAGCUCUUUCUUGAUUCUGUGGGUGGUGGUGCAUGGCCGUUCUUAGUUGGUGGAGUGAUUUGUCUGGUUAAUUCCGUUAACGAACGAGACCCCAGCCUGCUAAAUAGCGCGCGUGAGCUUUGCUCGCGGCGAGCUUCUUAGAGGGACUCUGAUGCGCGAUAGCACAUGGAAGUUUGGGGCAAUAACAGGUCUGUGAUGCCCUUAGAUGUUCUGGGCCGCACACGGGCUACACUGGCGCCUGCAACGAGCAUAUCAGCUGGCCCGAGAGGGUCUUGGCUAAUCUUUUGAACCGGCGCCGUGCUUGGGAUUGACCUUUGCAAUUGUUGGUCAUGCAACGAGGAAUGCCUUGUAAACGCGAGUCAUCAGCUCGCAUUGAAUACGUCCCUGCCCUUUGUACACACCGCCCGUCGCUCCUACCGAUGAAUGUUCCGAUGAAAUUUUCGGAGAGCACCUGUGAACUUGGCUCCGCCUUGCGAACGGGAGGCUCAAAGUCACUUAAAUCUGAACAUUUCGAGG